rnacentral:rRNA from 1 species
ACGCUAGCUACAGGCUUAACACAUGCAAGUCGAGGGCAGCGGGUUGAAAGCUUGCUUUCAAUGCCGGCGACCGGCGCACGGGUGCGUAACGCGUAUCAAACCUGCCUCAUACUCGGGGAUAGCCUUGCGAAAGUAAGAUUAAUACCCGAUGUUGUUGCUUUCUCGCAUGGGAGAGUAACCAAAGAUUUAUCGGUAUGAGAUGGUGAUGCGUCCGAUAGGUAGUAGGUGGGGUAACGGCCCACCUAGCCUUCGAUCGGUAGGGGUUCUGAGAGGAAGGUCCCCCACACUGGAACUGAGACACGGUCCAGACUCCUACGGGAGGCAGCAGUGAGGAAUAUUGGUCAAUGGGCGAGAGCCUGAACCAGCCAAGUAGCGUGCAGGAUGACGGCCCUCCGGGUUGUAAACUGCUUUUAGUUGGGAAUAAAAAAAGGGACUUGUCCCUUCUUGUAUGUACCUUCAGAAAAAGGACCGGCUAAUUCCGUGCCAGCAGCCGCGGUAAUACGGAAGGUCCAGGCGUUAUCCGGAUUUAUUGGGUUUAAAGGGAGCGUAGGCGGAUUGUUAAGUCAGCGGUUAAAGGGUGUGGCUCAACCAUGCAUUGCCGUUGAAACUGGCGAUCUUGAGUGCAGACAGGGAUGCCGGAAUUCGUGGUGUAGCGGUGAAAUGCUUAGAUAUCACGAAGAACUCCGAUCGCGAAGGCAGGUGUCCGGGCUGCAACUGACGCUGAGGCUCGAAAGUGUGGGUAUCAAACAGGAUUAGAUACCCUGGUAGUCCACACAGUAAACGAUGUAUACUCGCGGUUUGCGAUAGACAGUAAGCCGCCAAGCGAAAGCAUUAAGUAUACCACCUGGGGAGUACGCCGGCAACGGUGAAACUCAAAGGAAUUGACGGGGGCCCGCACAAG